GUUCGAGCAGGUGCGAAAGCAGGUCAUAGUGAUCCGGUGGUUCUGAAUGGAAGGGCCAUCGCUCAACGGAUAAAAGGUACUCCGGGGAUAACAGGCUGAUACCGCCCAAGAGUUCAUAUCGACGGCGGUGUUUGGCACCUCGAUGUCGGCUCAUCACAUCCUGGGGCUGAAGUCGGUCCCAAGGGUAUGGCUGUUCGCCAUUUAAAGUGGUACGCGAGCUGGGUUUAGAACGUCGUGAGACAGUUCGGUCCCUAUCUGCCGUGGGCGUUGGAAGAUUGAAGGGGGCUGCUCCUAGUACGAGAGGACCGGAGUGGACGAACCUCUGGUGUUCGGGUUGUGUCGCCAGACGCAUUGCCCGGUAGCUAAGUUCGGAAUCGAUAACCGCUGAAAGCAUCUAAGCGGGAAGCGAGCCCUGAGAUGAGUCUUCCCUGGUACUUUAAGUAUCCUAAAGGGUUGUUCGAGACUAGAACGUUGAUAGGCAGGGUGUGUAAGCGCUGUGAGGCGUUGAGCUAACCUGUACUAAUUGCCCGUGAGGCUUAACCAUACAACACCCAAAGGGUUUUG
rnacentral:rRNA from 1 species